CCGCAGGUACACUGCCUGAUGCCCAUUUCACUCCCCUCUGGUCACAGCCAUUCACUCUUGCGACGGCUGGACUUCUUGAGCGCCUACAAAUCCCCUUACCAGGAACCGAGGAUACAGAAAUCCAAAGUUGAGGUCUCUGCCUUCAGCGGGAGUCCAGCCUGGUUUAGAGCGAGAUACAGAAACAAACAAAAAACUGUGUCAUCUCAACAGUUGACCUCAGAGUUCUUCAUCAGGAGGGCACUGGCUUUAUUUAGGAAAGAUCUUGAUAAACUUCUGGAGCAGAACAAUUUGGUUCACGAGGGCAUAGAUGUUGUCAGAGACAGGAAUUGGUGGUUGGAGUUCCUGAAAGAGAGGGGAAGAGAAGGCAGGACGUGCACAGGUGGCCCAGCUGUGAGAAAGCCUGGCUGGAGGACCACUUUGAAGAGUGAUAUGGAUUUUUCAGUGCUUUGCUUUUAAAAGUACCUCUGGUGACCCAUACAGCUUCAGUAAACAUUCUGUGGCUCCCAGCAGAAUUCUGUUCACUGUUACCGCAGAAGCAGUGAUCAAAGAGAAGGGGCUCUGUUGGGUGCAUGCCAGGGCAGAGGUCAAGGAAAAGCCACCGAUAGAGACAAAGAACAGCUUGACCAAGGCUGAAAACUGGCACAAAGGUCAUUGCUUGGGAAAAAGAAAACAAAACAGGAGGAGGAGGAGGAGAAAGUAUAGAAACAAGAAAUAGAAGCAGGAGCAUAAGCAAAUGAAGAGGAACUAGAUGAUGGUGAUGAGAAGAAGAAAAAACAGACUGGAAGAAAGUAGAAAAAACAGGUGCUGCUGCUUCUUGGCCUUCUUCACCCUCUGACUGCGCACUGUACUCAGAGCAUCCAGCAGUGCAAGGAUCUGACAGGGACAAAACCUGGUGAGCAUCAGAAUACUCUCACAGACGCCGCACACUCCCAUCCAGGCACAUCAGCUAAUGGAAUCCAAGAUAGAGGCAACCCAGGAUCCAAAUGAAUGUUAACGCCUUGAAAAUGCAUCCCCAGAAAGUCCUGGAAGCUCCACCUUCUGCAACAGCUGAGAGCUACUUCUGUGCGUGCUCUGAAGCUCUCAUUCCGCAGCCUCCUGGACCUCAGUGAUGUGAUUCAGAUACUAAUUCAGCCCGAUCACCCUUUUUUGGAGAUAAUCUUUUUCUUUAUGGCUUUUUAAAAUGUCUUCUCUUUGUAAA